AUGUGCCCUGAGCUUCCUAGACAGGAAUGUGUUUGGAGUCAAAAGGUUUUGUCGCAGCCUACUGAGAUGCCUGGAAGCACAAACUUCGAUUGGUCUGAAGCAAGAAUUUGGAAUUAGCAAUUAGGUGGGGAUUUAGUUGAGAGGAAAUGGCUUAUAAUUGGGGAGAUGGAUUAUGAUAGGCAGGGAGAUAAAUGGUUUCUGGAGUGGUAAAGGCUUUCUCUCUUUUUUCUUUUGCUGAUGAACCUCCUAUCCUACCCACUCAAGGAAUGGGAGAACUGGCCAUCCUUCCCAGAACACUUAAACUCCUGACUCCCAGACCUGGAGUGACAGUUCCUCAUGUUAAAAUGAUCAGAAUAUCUGGCGGAUGAUCUCUCGUCGCUCGGGGACAAGUUUGUACUGGAUAACCUCCUCCAGCUCGGACAGCAUGUGGCAAGAAACCAUGGCCUGAUGGAAGCAAAUCGCAUUCCAAACUAAUUACUGCACGAACAAUCCAAAAGACAGGAUUAAUUUAAAUCAUUCCUUCUGGUGUCAGGGUAUCUGCCGAUCAGAGAAAACAGGCAUGUUUCCAGCAGCCUGGAUGAAAAGAGAAAUUUGCUGAAGAAGGGCAUUUUCCCAGAACUGAAUGGCUUGAGAGGAGGUAUUAUCCAAUUUCUCAUCAAAGACAGAAAUGUAUGGCAUCCAAAACUUUAACAUCUAUCUAAGGAUGGGGCUGGUUACCAGAAAGACCAAGUAAUUACCGGGUUUGAACUUUCAGCCCUGUCCACUGACAUCCAGGAAAGGUGAAGAGGUUGAAAAUUAAAGGCAAUAAAAACUCUUGAACAAUGAGCUUCCAGGUUGACGAAGGUGCUGGGAGGGUGAGGGUAAACCCCAGUAACACAGGACAGAAGCUUCUGCACUCCAGACCCUUCUAGACCUUCCCUCAUUGUACCUGUUCAUCUGUAUCUUUUAUAAUACCCUUUAUAAUAAACUAG